GGUCAAGCUACUAAGGGCGUACGGUGGAUGCCUUGGCGCUGGGAGGCGAUGAAGGGCGUCGUAAGCUGCGAUAAGCCCCGGGGAGCUGCUGCGUGCUUGGAUCCGGGGAUGCCCGAAUGGGGAAACCUGGCGGGAGUCAUGUCCCGUCACCCCCUUCUGAAUUCAUAGGGAGGGAGGAGCCAACGGGGGGAAGUGAACCAUCUCAGUACCCCCAGGAAGAGAAAGCAACCGCGAUUCCCCUAGUAGCGGCGAGCGAACGGGGAACAGCCUAAACCGGCUGUGCGUCAAGCGUGCGAGCGUUGCAUGGCCGGUGUCGCGGGAUCGAUCCGGACCCCCUCGCGCGGGGGUCGGGGAGUUACAAACCAGUCCGUUAGCCGAAGGUUCUGGAAAGCUCCGCCACAGAGGGUAACGGCCCCGUAGGCGAAAACGGACUGGCUCCCUGGGAUCGCGUCCCAAGUACCACGGGACACGUGGAACCCUGUGGGAAUCCGCGAGGACCAUCUCGCAAGGCUAAAUACUACCCAGCGACCGAUAGUGAACCAGUACCGUGAGGGAAAGGUGAAAAGAACCCCCGUUAGGGGAGUGAAAUAGUACCUGAAACCGUGCGUCUACAAGCAGUGGGAGGGUUAUGGUCGCCCAGCAAUGGGCGGCAACGCCCGACCGCGUGCCUUUUGCAUAAUGAGCCGGCUAGUUACUCUCGGCAGCAAGGCUAAGCGAUAAGCGAGCCGCAGCGAAAGCGAGUCCUAAUAGGGCGUUUAGUUGUCGGGAGUAAACGCGAAUCCUAGUGAUCUACCCUUGGCCAGGGUGAAACGCAGGUAACACUGCGUGGAGGCCCGAACCGGUGUUGGUUGAAAACAGCUCGGAUGAGCUGAGGGUAGGGGUGAAAGGCUAAUCAAACUGGGUUAUAGCUCGUUCUCCUCGAAAUAGCUUUAGGGCUAGCCUCGGGAGUUUACACGCGGUGGUAAAGUACUCGAUGGACUAGGGGGCUUACCAGCUUACCGAAUCCAACGAAACUCUGAAUGCCGCCUGUCCAGAUCCCGGGAGUCAGACGGCGGGGGAUAAGCUUCGUCGUCAAAAGGGAAAGAACCCAGACCGCCAGCUAAGGCCCCGAAGUGCAUGCUAAGUGGUAAAGGAUCUGGAGUUGCCGUGACAACCAGGAGGUUGGCUUAGAAGCAGCCAUCCUUCAAAGAAAGCGUAAUAGCUCACUGGUCAAGCGACUCUGGGCCGACAAUCCAACGGGGCUCAAGCAUGCCGCCGAAGCUGCGGCUUUCCGGAGCAAUCCGGGAGGGGUAGAGGAGCAUUCCGUGCGCUGCGAAGCCGUACCGUAAGGAGCGGUGGAGCUCACAGAAGAGACCCUGCCGGCACAAGUAGCGACAAAGUCCGCGAGAAUCGGACUCGCCGUAAGUCUAAGGUUUCCUGAGGAAGGUUCGUCCGCUCAGGGUCAGUCGGUCCCUAAGCCGAGGCCGAAAGGCGUAGGCGAUGGACAGCAGGUCAACAUUCCUGCACCAGUCGGGGGACGUUAUUACGAUGGGGUGACGCAGAAGGAUAGGCAUACGGGCGGCUGGAAAUGCCCGGUGGCGACGUAGGUGGAUCCCCUAGGAAAAUCCGGGGGGUCAUCAACACCGAGGGUAGCCAGGAAGUGCGGCUUCGGCCAAACCAACUUGUCGACUCCACGCUGCCAAGAAAAACCUCUAAGGAGCCCUCCGGCUGACCGUACCGCAAACCGACACAGGUAGACGGGGAGAAAAUCCCAAGGCGCGUGAGAGAACGCCCACUAAGGAACUCGGCAAAAUAGCCCCGUAACUUCGGGAGAAGGGGUGCCCCGGUAGGGUGAAGGACCUCGCGUCCGGAGCCUGAAGGGGUUGCAGUGAAUGGGCCCAGGCGACUGUUUACUAAAAACACAGGACUCUGCAAAGUAAAAAAGACGACGUAUAGGGUCUGACGCCUGCCAGGUGCCGGAAGGUUAAGAGGAGGGGUUAGCCGCAAGGCAACGCUCUGAAUCGAAGCCCCGGUAAACGGCGGCCGUAACUAUAACGGUCCUAAGGUAGCGAAAUUCCUUGUCGGGUAAGUUCCGACCUGCACGAAUGGCGUAACGAUCUGGGCGCUGUCUCGGUGGGCGGCUCAGCGAAUCUGUAGCACCGGUGAAGAUGCCGGUUUCCCGCCGUUAGACGGAAAGACCCCGUGCACCUUUACUACAUCCUGGCAGUGGACUUCGGUGCUGCAUGUGCAGCAUAGGUGGGAGGCUUUGAAGCGUGGGCGUUAGCCUGCGUGGAGCCAACAGUGAGAUACCACCCUUGUGGCUCUGGGGUUCUAACCCAGGGCCGUGAAUCCGGUCCGGGGACACUGCUUGGUGGGUAGUUUGACUGGGGCGGUCGCCUCCUAAAUUGUAACGGAGGCGCCCGAAGGUGCCCUCAGGCUGUUUGGAAAUCAGCCGCAGAGUGUAAAGGCAAAAGGGCGCUUGACUGCGAGACCCACAAGUCGAGCAGGUGCGAAAGCAGGGCUUAGUGAUCCGGCGGUUCUGUAUGGAAGGGCCGUCGCUCAACGGAUAAAAGGUACGCCGGGGAUAACAGGCUUAUCUUGCCCAAGAGUUCACAUCGACGGCAAGGUUUGGCACCUCGAUGUCGGCUCAUCGCAUCCUGGGGCUGAAGUAGGUCCCAAGGGUUCGGCUGUUCGCCGAUUAAAGCGGUACGUGAGCUGGGUUUAGAACGUCGUGAGACAGUUCGGUCCCUAUCUACGGUGGGCGCAGGAUACUUGAUGGGAUGGUUUCCUAGUACGAGAGGACCGGAAACCACGGACCUCCAGUGUUCCAGUUGUUCCGCCAGGGGCAGCGCUGGGUAGCUGUGUCCGCAAAGGAUAAGCGCUGAAGGCAUCUAAGCACGAAGCCCUCCCAGAGAUGAGGUAUCCCUCCGCGAAAGCGGCUAAAGGCCCCUCGGAGACGACGAGGUUGAUAGGCCGGAGGUGUAAGUGCGGCAACGCAUUCAGCUUACCGGUACUAAUCGGCCGUGAGGCUUGACCAU
rnacentral:rRNA from 1 species